GUGCACCAGGCGAGAAACUUUACAAUGUGCGAAAGCACGAUAAGGGAACUCUGAGUGCCUCCUAAGGAGGCUGUUCAGGUGUCUAAAAAGCACCUGAAGGAAGGGCUGGGUAAGACCGGUGCCAGCCGCCGCGGUAACACCGGCAGCCCAAGUGGUAGCCCACGUUUAUUGGGGUCUAAAAGCGUCCGUAGCCGGCUGGGUAAGUUCCUUGGGAAAUUUGGCUGCUUAACAGUCAAGCUUUCAGGGAAUACUGCCCGGCUUGGGACCGGGAGAGGUCAGAGGUACUCCAGGGGUAGGGUGAAAAUCCAUUAAUCCUUGGGGGACCACCGGUAGCG
rnacentral:rRNA from 1 species